UACGUAGGCAGCAAGCGUUGUUCGGAGUUACUGGGCGUAAAGGGUGUGUAGGCGGUUCUUUAAGUUUGGUGUGAAAUCUCCCGGCUCAACUGGGAGGGUGCGCCGAAUACUGAGGGACUAGAGUACGGGAGAGGAAAGUGGAAUUCCUGGUGUAGCGGUGAAAUGCGUAGAUAUCAGGAGGAACACCUGUGGUGUAGACGGCUCUCUGGACCGCAACUGACGCUGAGACACGAAAGCGUGGGUAGCAAACAGG
rnacentral:rRNA from 1 species